AGAGAGAGAGAGAGGUAUGGCAUUUGAUUAUCUGCAUAUUUGAUUUACUCUAUCAUAUGUUUGUAUUAUAUGUCAUCAUGGAUUGCAGUAAAGUGAAUGAAGAGACAGGGGUGAUAAACUGGAUUGUGCAGGGAUUAGGCAAAGUGGUUCCACAACCUGAUGACAAGCAGAAACAGCAGACAGAAUCCCAGGAGGUGACUGAGGUUCCAAAAGUGGUGCCAGAAGUAAAGGUGGUGCACACUGAGAUUAAAGUGGUUAAAGUGGAGCCUGAGCCUGAGCCUCCACCUCAAGUCCCUGUGGUGGAGGUGGUUUCUGAUGCAGAGCCUGAAGGAGACAAGCCGUUAACUCCCAGGGUGAUGGAGUGGAUAAAGCAUGGUUUGGAGAAGGUUGUUCCACAGCCGGGACACUCUCCAUCUAUUACAGACACUUCAGAUAAAAAAGAACCUGCUACUAAUACUGCACCUCCAAAGGCACCUGAUCAAUCAGCAGCUGAGGAUGCAACCAAGGGAACAAAUGUGGAGGAGGAAUCCAACGUGGUUAGCUGGAUUGCGCAGGGACUCGGUCGCAUUAUGCCACAGCCUGUUCUGAAGCCAAAAGAGGACACUUUGGAUACAGUUCAGAGCAGGGAGAAGGCCAUGAGAGCCCCCUAAACAUAAGGAGAAGAAGACUGGGAGAGGGACUUAUACCCAGCGAGACAGAGAGAAAGAGAGAGAACAAUCAGUCCAGUGGAAACACACACACACACACAUACACACACACACACACA
ensembl:lncRNA